AGAUUGAACGCUGGCGGCAUGCCUUACACAUGCAAGUCGAACGGCAGCACGGGAGCAAUCCUGGUGGCGAGUGGCGAACGGGUGAGUAAUAUAUCGGAACGUGCCCAGUAAUGGGGGAUAGCCCGGCGAGAGCCGGAUUAAUACCGCAUACGACCUACGGGUGAAAGCGGGGGAUCGCAAGACCUCGCGUUAUUGGAGCGGCCGAUAUCAGAUUAGCUUGUUGGUGGGUAAAAGCCACCAAGGCGACGAUCUGUAGCUGGUCUGAGAGGACGACCAGCCACACUGGGACUGAGACACGGCCCAGACUCCUACGGGAGGCAGCAGUGGGGAAUUUUGGACAAUGGGCGCAAGCCUGAUCCAGCCAUGCCGCGUGUGGGAAGAAGGCCUUCGGUUGUAAACCACUUUUGCAGGAAGAAACGGUUCCUACUAAUAAUGGAACUAAUGACGUACCUGAAGAAUAAGCACGACUAACUACGUGCCAGCAGCCG
rnacentral:rRNA from 1 species